UACGAAGGGGGCUAGCGUUGUUCGGAAUUACUGGGCGUAAAGGGCGCGUAGGCGGUCUUGUAAGUCAGGAGUGAAAUCCCCAGGCUCAACCUGGGAAUUGCUCUUGAGACUAUAGGGCUUGAGUGCGAGAGAGGUGAGUGGAAUUCCCAGUGUAGAGGUAAAAUUCGUAGAUAUUGGGAGGAACACCAGUGGCGAAGGCGGCUCACUGGCUCGUAACUGACGCUGAGGCGCGAAAGCGUGGGGAGCAAACAGG
rnacentral:rRNA from 1 species